GAUGAAGAACGUAGCGAAAUGCGAUAAGUAAUGUGAAUUGCAGAAUUCAGUGAAUCAUCGAAUCUUUGAACGCACAUUGCGCCCAUCAGUAUUCUGUUGGGCAUGUCUGUCCGAGCGUCAUUUCAACCCUCAGGGCCCGUUCGCGGGAACUGGUGUUGGGGAUCGGCCUCCCCCCGGAGGCCGGCCCCGAAAUGCAGUGGCGGCUCUACCGCGAUCUCCUCUGUGUAGUAGCGAUACCUCGCAGCUGGAUAGUGGUGGUGCCACGCCGUAAAAUCCCAACUUUACCAAGGUUGACCUCGGAUCAGGUAGGAAUACCCGCUGAACUUAAGCAUAUCAAUAAGCGGAGGA
rnacentral:misc_RNA from 1 species